GUCGGAUUGUGUGAGCCUAUUUAUCGGCUUCUUCGAUCUAGGGAGGUGGGGGGAGGAGAUUUUUUUUUUUCUUUCGAGAGGAUGGAAUGUCUCAUGAUCUAUGCUUGUUUCUCUAGUUGACCUGUACAAUUGCCCCGACACAAUGGGUUCUUGUGUAUCGACAUCAAAUAGAACACCUAGAUCACAACUAUGGUCCCUUAGAGCUAGGAAAUGCUGUGGAAAAGUUUCAGCAGUGAUAUAUGAUGAACCCACUCUCAGGGGCAAUGAUGCUGGUAAUUCUUCUACUCGGAGCAAAAUCGUUCGCGCUGAGUCUUCUGUGCCCAAUAGGCGGAGAUCCGAGGUCGCAAAUUUAACAUUCCACCUCACUCAAUUGCAAUGGCAUCGCAAUCAGAUGGAUUUGGGAAAUGUGUGAAGAUGCUUCAGACAUGGUGGAUUCUAUGCAUAAGUUUGAGAACCUUUCGCGUGAAGAUAAGUUCCAAGAACUGAAGAGGCCCAAUGUUGCGAACCAAUAAGGCUAAGAAAUUCUACAAUAUUUGCUGUUCAUUUGAUGAUCUACACCCGGAUUAAGCACCUGAAAAAGGUAUUUGAUGAAAUUAAUGUAGGGAACAAUUUUUUUACCAUUGUGGUGUCUGUAACCUUAUUUCAUUGUUCUUAUUCCUGUGCGUUAAUGAAUUUACCCAAUGCUAGUGUACUCCGAUUGCUCGAUGAGCCAUAGCAUCUGUUUUUUUCUUUUUUCCCCAACGUCUGGCUCCAUGUCUCUCUCUAUAUGAUUUGUUUAUUCAUUUAUACCAAUGUGCAUCAGGGCUAUAUUUGUUAUUACUCGGUAA